UACGUAGGGUGCAGGCGUUAAUCGGAAUUACUGGGCGUAAAGGGCGCGUAGGCGGCCCGCUAAGUCGAACGUGAAAUCCCCGGGCUUAACCCGGGAACUGCGUCCGAUACUGGCAGGCUUGAAUCCGGGAGAGGGAUGUGGAAUUCCAGGUGUAGCGGUGAAAUGCGCAGAUAUCAGGAGGAACACCGGUGGCGAAGGCGGGUCUCUGGGCAACAACUGACGCUGAGGAGCGAAAGCGUGGGGAGCGAACAGG
rnacentral:rRNA from 1 species